rnacentral:rRNA from 1 species
AUGCAAAACACACUGGGUCAACUGGGAUUGAGGCCAAAAGGAAAAGGUGGAAUUGGAUUUAAAGAUCUCCGGACGUUCAAUCAAGCCCUCUUAGCACGGCAAGCCUGACGUCUCAUUCAGUUCCCGGAAAGUCUUUGUGCGCAGGUUCUACCGGCCAAGUACUAUCCAUCUGGGUCCAUUCUUGACACUGCCUUUACAGGGAACGGAUCCUCAACAUGGAAUGCUAUUGAGCAUGGCUUACAGCUGGUGAAACAGGGGUAUGUAUGGCGUGUGGGGAAUGGUGCUAACAUCCGUAUCUGGCGAGACCCGUGGUUGCCAAGAGGGCCUCCGUUUAAGCCAAUCAUUCCCAAACGACAGUGCAGGCUGAACUGGGUGGCUGACCUCCUUAACUUUGAUGGAUCCUGGAAUGUUUCGGUCCUCAGGCAACACUUCUAUCCGGUAGACAUUACAGAGAUUCUGAAAAUAAAAACCUCUCGCCGAGGGGAGGCUGAUUCUAUUGCCUGGCAACCCGACAAGCAUGGCCGAUUCUCUGUGAAGUCAGCUUAUAAUCUGGUAAGAGAUGAGAUCAUGGCUCGACAAGAUACUGUGGCGUGUAGCUCUCGGCCUGAUGGCUCAAGGCCGGCGUGGAAAAUGCUAUGGAACUGUGGGGCACCACCCAAAAUCUGUGUAUUUGUUUGGAAGGCAUCUAGGGAAGCUCUGGCCACCCAGCUAAAUAAGAAGAGGCACCAUAUGGAAGUUGACAGAGUGUGCACCAUCUGUGGCCUGGAGGAUGAAUCAGUACAUCAUGCACUUGUACGUUGUCCUCAUGCACUUGUACGCUGA